rnacentral:rRNA from 1 species
GACGAACGCUGGCGGCGUGCCUAAUACAUGCAAGUAGAACGCUGAAGGAGGAGCUUGCUUCUCCGGAUGAGUUGCGAGCGGGUGAGUAACGCGUAGGUAACCUGCCUGGUAGCGGGGGAUAACUAUUGGAAACGAUAGCUAAUACCGCAUAACAGUAGAUAUUGCAUGAUAUCUGCUUGAAAGGUGCAAUUGCAUCACUACCAGAUGGACCUGCGUUGUAUUAGCUAGUUGGUGAGGUAACGGCUCACCAAGGCGACGAUACAUAGCCGACCUGAGAGGGUGAUCGGCCACACUGGGACUGAGACACGGCCCAGACUCCUACGGGAGGCAGCAGUAGGGAAUCUUCGGCAAUAGACGGAAGUCUGACCGAGCAACGCCGCGUGAGUGAAGAAGGUUUUCGGAUCGUAAAGCUCUGUUGUAAGAGAAGAACGAGUGUGAGAGUGGAAAGUUCACACUGUGACGGUAUCUUACCAGAAAGGGACGGCUAACUACGUG